GACGAACGCUGGCGGCGUGCUUAACACAUGCAAGUCGAACGGAAAGGCCUCUUUCGGGUGGUGCUCGCGUGGGGCGAACGGGUGUAUCACGUGAGUAUAAUCCGCUUGUGUCUUUGAUAUCUUCUCGGGACACUGGGUAUUAUCGGGUAUGAGCUCCUCCUGCAUGGUGGGGGGUGUGGAGUGUUGGGGGUUGGGGGUGGACUCGCGGGUUAUCAGAUUGUUGGUGGGGGGGUGGCUUACCAAGGCUUUUACGGGUGGCCGGCCUGUGAGGGUGACCGGCCACAUUGGGACUGAGAUACGGCCCAGACUCCUCCGGGAGGCAGCAGUGGGGAAUAUUGCACAAUGGGCGGAAGCCUGAUGAAGCAACGCCGCGUGCGGGAUGCCGGCCUUCGGGUUGUAAACCGCUUUCGCCUGUGCCGAAGCGUGAGUGACGGUAAUGGGUAAAGAAGCACCGGCUAACUACGUG
rnacentral:rRNA from 1 species